rnacentral:rRNA from 1 species
UGGGGAAUCUUGGACAAUGGGCGAAAGCCUGAUCCAGCCAUGCCGCGUGAGUGACGAAGGUCUUCGGAUUGUAAAGCUCUUUUGGCGGGGACGAUAAUGACGGUACCCGCAGAAUAAGCCCCGGCUAACUUCGUGCCAGCAGCCGCGGUAAUACGAAGGGGGCUAGCGUUGUUCGGAAUUACUGGGCGUAAAGCGCACGUAGGCGGAUUUGUAAGUCAGGGGUGAAAUCCCGGGGCUCAACCUCGGAACUGCCCUUGAUACUGCAAGUCUCGAGUCCGAUAGAGGUGAGUGGAAUUCCUAGUGUAGAGGUGAAAUUCAUAGAUAUUAGGAAGAACACCAGUGGCGAAGGCGGCUCACUGGAUCGGUACUGACGCUGAGGUGCGAAAAGCGUGGGGAGCAAACAGGAUUAGAUACCCUCGUAGUCCCUGAGCGGGCUGGCAAGGCGCAU